rnacentral:rRNA from 1 species
ACGGAGGGUGCAAGCGUUAUUCGGAAUUACUGGGCGUAAAGCGCGUGUAGGCGGUCCUUCCCUUCGUAUCUGAAAGCCCCGGGCUUAACCCGGGAAGUGCAUUGGAAACUGCAGGUCUUGAGUACUGGAGAGGAUGGGGGAAUUCCCGGUGUAGAGGUGAAAUUCGGAGAGAUCGGGAGGAAUAUCAGUGGCGAAGGCGCCCAACUGGACGGUAACUGACGCUGAGACGCGAAAGCGUGGGGAGCAAACAG